rnacentral:rRNA from 1 species
CAACGACUCUCGGCAACGGAUAUCUCGGCUCUCGCAUCGAUGAAGAACGUAGCAAAAUGCGAUACCUGGUGUGAAUUGCAGAAUCCCGCGAACCAUCGAGUUUUUGAACGCAAGUUGCGCCCGAGGCCUUCUGGCUGAGGGCACGCCUGCCUGGGCGUCACGC